rnacentral:misc_RNA from 1 species
AACUUUUGGCAACGGAUCUCUUGGUUCUCGCAUCGAUGAAGAACGCAGCGAAAUGCGCUAAGUAAUGUGAAUUGCAGAAUUCAGUGAAUCAUCGAAUCUUUGAACGCAACUUGCGCUCCUUGGUAAUCUCACGUGCAUGCCUGUUUGCGUGGCCUUAAACUUCUUCUCAGACCUCCAAGUUUCUCUGUGUGUGGGCUUUGGAAAAUUGGGGGCUUGGUGGUUAACUAUUGCUUCAUGUUAUCUGAAAAGCAUUAGCGGCAUCUGGGCUGCUUGCAGGUGUGCUAACUUGUCUACAGGUUUGCAGUGGCAGCAUUUGUCCCGCUUUACAGGGCAUCGAUGAAAUUUGACUUCAAAUCAGGCAGGAGUACCCGCUGAACUUAAGCAAAUGAACAAGCGAAGGCU